rnacentral:rRNA from 1 species
AGUCGAGGGGCAGCGGGGUAGUGCUUGCACUACUGCCGGCGACCGGCGCACGGGUGAGUAACACGUAUGGAACCUGCCCGCAACAGGGGGAUAAGCGGAAGAAAUUCCGUCUAAUACCGCGUAACAUUCUCCGGAGGCAUCUCCGGGGAAUCAAAGAUUCAUCGGUUGCGGAUGGCCAUGCGGCGCAUUAGCUAGUCGGCGGGGUAACGGCCCACCGAGGCGACGAUGCGUAGGGGUUCUGAGAGGAAGGUCCCCCACACUGGUACUGAGACACGGACCAGACUCCUACGGGAGGCAGCAGUGAGGAAUAUUGGUCAAUGGCCGAGAGGCUGAACCAGCCAAGUCGCGUGAGGGAUGACGGCCCUACGGGUUGUAAACCUCUUUUGUCAGGGAGCAAGGGGCAUCACGUGUGAUGCUGUGAGAGUACCUGAAGAAAAAGCAUCGGCUAACUCCGUGCCAGCAGCCGCGGUAAUACGGAGGAUGCGAGCGUUAUCCGGAUUUAUUGGGUUUAAAGGGUGCGCAGGCGGACUCUCAAGUCAGCGGUCAAAUCGCGGGGCUCAACCCCGUUCCGCCGUUGAAACUGGGAGCCUUGAGUGCGCGAGAAGUAGGCGGAAUGCGUGGUGUAGCGGUGAAAUGCAUAGAUAUCACGCAGAACUCCGAUUGCGAAGGCAGCCUACCGGCGCGCAACUGACGCUCAUGCACGAAAGCGUGGGUAUCGAACAGGAUUAGAUACCCUGGUAGUCCACGCAGUAAACGAUGAACACUAACUGUCCGGCCCGAUUGGGGGCUGGGUGGUACAGCGAAAGCGUUAAGUGUUCCACCUGGGGAGUACGCCGGCAACGGUGAAACUCAAAGGAAUUGACGGGGGCCCGCACAAGCGGAGGAACAUGUGGUUUAAUUCGAUGAUACGCGAGGAACCUUACCCGGGCU